rnacentral:pre_miRNA from 1 species
GAACCUUUAUCCAAAGCCUACUGAAGUCAGUGCGAGUCUUUCUACUGACUUCAGUGGGCUUUGGAUAAGACCUUUU